rnacentral:rRNA from 1 species
GAGUUUGAUCCUGGCUCAGGAUGAACGCUGGCGGCGUGCUUAACACAUGCAAGUCGAACGGACGAAUCUUAUCGGAGUUUUUCGGAACAAAGAAAAGAUAAGUUAGUGGCGGACGGGUGCGUAACGUGUGGGUAAUCUGCCUUUGUCAUGGGAAUAACUGCUUGAAAGAGCAGCUAAUACCGAAUAACAUAUGCAAUAGGCAUCUAUUGGAUAUCAAAGAGAAAUCGGACAAAGAUGAGCCCGCAUCUGAUUAGCUAGUUGGUAGGGUAACAGCCUACCAAGGCAACGAUCAGUAGCCGACCUGAGAGGGUGAACGGCCACAUUGGAACUGAGACACGGUCCAAACUCCUACGGGAGGCAGCAGUGGGGAAUAUUGCACAAUGGGGGGAACCCUGAUGCAGCAACCGCCGCGUGAGUGAAGAAGGCUUUCGAGUCGUAAAACUCUGUUGUAAGGGAAGAUAAUGACNGUCCUAAAGAGCCNC